GAUGAACGCUGGCGGCGUGCCUAAUACAUGCAAGUCGAGCGAACAGACGAGGAGCUUGCUCCUCUGACGUUAGCGGCGGACGGGUGAGUAACACGUGGAUAACCUACCUAUAAGACUGGGAUAACUUCGGGAAACCGGAGCUAAUACCGGAUAAUAUAUUGAACCGCAUGGUUCAAUAGUGAAAGACGGUUUUGCUGUCGCUUAUAGAUGGAUCAGCGCCGCAUUAGCUAGUUGGUAAGGUAACGGCUUACCAAGGCGACGAUGCGUAGCCGACCUGAGAGGGUGAUCGCCCACACGGGAACGGGGACAGGGUCAAGACUCCUACGGGAGGCCGCAGUAGGGAACCUUCCGCAAUGGGCGAAAGCCUGACGGAGCAAUGCCGAGUGAGUGAUGAAGGUCUUCGGAUCGUAAAACUCUGUUAUUAGGGAAGAACAAAUGUGUAAGUAACUAUGCACGUCUUGACGGUACCUAAUCAGAAAGCCACGGCUAACUACGUG
rnacentral:rRNA from 1 species